rnacentral:lncRNA from 1 species
CAACCACUGUGUCCUAUUUGCAGUUUAGGACACCAGCAACUAUGGAGGAUACCACACAGGGAGUGAAAUUUGAAGCAGAUACAAAGCUGACUCGCAGCCAGGCUGGAGGUGAUGCGAGGGAUGAAGUUGAGGAGGAUGAGUACGGUGACACGGAGCUGCAUUCGGCCGUCUUGUCGAGGAAUCUGGAUGAAGUGAAAUCUGUUGUGAACAAGUUGCACCAGGAUAAAGACUUCGCUGCCGUCGACGCUCGAAACUGUUCGG